UUCCUCCCGCACACAGCGCCCUGACGCCUCUCCUUUCCCUGUACCGAACAACAGGAAACCCUCGCGCAGCCGCCGCUCCUCCUUCGCAUAUCGUGCACCGCCGCUCGAAGACCCCUCCACCCCAGUGCUCGCCGACGACCCCUCGUGCGCAAACCUCCUUCCGCCGUUCCUUGUCCUCCGCGCGGUGCCACCGCUAGCGCCCCGUGCUCUCCACGAUCUGCAUCUCGCCGGCGGCCACGCCUUCACGGAGUUCCGUGACUCGGCGCCGUCCUCCGAGAGUACCGAUGGCGCCGCCAUGGACGAGGCCGGGGAGCUCGACUUCGAUGCCCGUUGACGGCCGUGGCGGCGCGCUGGUGCCACAUGGACGAUGCUCGUGCUGGCUCCGUCCUCCUGCCUCUCGCCUCCCUCCUCGGCCUCAUUUCAGUUCUCUUUUUUCAGUUCUUUUGUUGGGGUCAGGAAGAUCUGCUGCAGCUUAUAACGAAGGACCCCUUCAUAUUUCUCUACAGGAAGAAGCUACAGGCCGGUUUCUAGCUCUAUUGUUUCUGAAAGUCAGGCUGCAAGAUGCAAGUCUUGUGAGUGCUGCAAGAGAUACUGGAUCCAUUUGAAUGGAAAGGUCAAUUGUUUUGUCACGUACCUGGACAGAAAGUCUAGGCAUAGCAUGGUCAUACCAGAGAGCUUUUUGAACUAUUUUGUAUGGAAGUUGUCAAGAACCAUCAAACUAGAAGCCCAUGAUGAUAAUGUAUACGAUGUCGGAAUCACUGAGCUUAGAAACAAAACAAUACUCAGAUCUGGAUGGGAGGCAUUUGUCGAUGCCCAAUCAUAUAGCAGAGAAAGACUCGUUGAUGUUCCGAUACUGUGGAAGUGCUCGCUUCAAGGUCUUGUUCUUUGAUUCCAGUGGUUGUGAGAAAGUGGUGUUCUGUGCUCGCAUACAGAGCAAUAGUGGUGAGCAAGAACCAAGCACAUAUUCUUAGGACGUGGAGGAUCAGAUGGAUGCCAGAGUGGAAGCUCUAUCUAUUGAAGAAAACGAGCAAAGAAAGAUGCACUUUCUCCAUCCAGGUAUUUGUCAGGUUAACUUUACAACUGAUUUGCAAAUUUUUAUCACGUUAUGUCGUUAUAUGGUAGGAGUACUAUUUUACUGCAAUUGCUCUUACUUCUGAAGCUGUUUGAUUUAAGACAGUCCUCAUGAGGGUGACUCUGAUGAGUCGGAUGAACACACAAUCCAUUAGCUUUUUCUCAAAAUAGGAGUGUAUAGCCUAAUUAUCUUGAAAAAUACCCCAUCAUUAGCUUUCUUCUCAAGAUACAUUUGUUCUGAUAGAUAAUUGAAUAUUGUUGUUUGUGCAUGUUCCAUGAAAAUAAGCGAACGUAAAAUUUUCGAACCUAUUAUCUAAAGUACUUGCUCACCUAGACCAUCCGUAAUUUGAUAAUAAACAUUAUCUGGUUUCAUGCUCCAUGAUGCAUUUCAUACUAGAAAGCCUAUUUCACUUUGCAUGUAGCUUUCUUCACAUACUUGAUGUAAGAUAUCAUAGCAGAGUGCAUCUUACAUUUUGAUGUCUUAAAAGGCGUAUCAUCGCAAUGGUAAACUUUGUUGCAUCAUACUAGAAGAAUGACACCAUCGAGUUUCAAAAGAUCUUAAAGGUCAGUGUUCUUUAACAUAUGUUUUUCGCUUGACUGCAGCAAUCCUAAACCCUUCAUUUAUUUGUUCACUGAUUCUUCUAGAAUUGUUGCAACCAUUCUUUAUUAAAUCUUACAAACAGAGGUGUUAACGAUCACACAACAUGUUUGGCGCAUGCCAUAAACUUAUGUGGUACCGGGGAAAUGCUUCUUACGACCACCACCCCCACUAUUAUCCCCGAGUUAAGACCAGAUAUGAGGUUGAAUAUAAAUGUGUGGGAACUCAAUGAUAUGAAUCCAAACAUUUCAAAAGUUUUGAAAGUAAUGUUCCUUUGUCAAUAGCAGGCAAGAAGCUUCUGAUUAUUAGAAACAGUUUGACGGACUUCAACAACAAUGUCUACUAUCUUCCAUCCAUUUUGUCAUCAUGUUUCUUCGACUACUUUAAUGUCUAAUGAAAUAAAUAAAAAUACUUUUUUUUUGUAAGAAAGAGGGUAGCGCUGGGGCUAAAUACCAUUGUCUGUUAUUCUUACUGAAACUAAAGGUGCAACCAGCCCUUCAGGUAAUGGCAAAGGUCACCGCAAUUAGAUAAGAUGGGGGUAUAUUUGCAGAUGAUCUAGCUCAGUAUUCUAUAAAAUGUAACUUGAUUUACAUGUUGAUGUGAUAAUGCGGGUGUUGAAGAAUAUGAUUAGUCUCACCAGGUGUGAUGAGCAUAUGCACUUGCAUGUGUUAAAGAACAGUGUAUCUAAAAUAUUUUUGUUGAUCAAUCAUUAUUUUUGGCUUGCCUCUGAUUUAUGCUCUUUCUUGUGCUUUCUUAGUACCAGAGUUUUUUACGGUUUUUCCAUCGAUGAUAUUAUCAGUACAAACAUUUAGAAUGUUAAAAACCUCAUAUGGAACACUAUCCUGAACUUGGAUCCAUUUCUCUUGCAAGUGCGAAGAAAAUCCACUGUCUACAGUAUUGUCACAAUGCACAAAACUUGGCAGGGCACACUAGAUAUCUGGUGUAAUGGUGGAUUAUUGAGCAAUAAUAUUCAAGGUGAACAGUCUAAUAUUUCAUUCAUAUGUUAUUUUGAGAAAAUGGUUGUUAAAAAUAUGAUUAGCCCCACCAGGUUCGAUGGCCAUAUGCAUUUGCAGGUGUUGUAGAAAAAAAUGUUUAAUGUGCUCGGAGAGCAAUACCUGUAUACCUAUGAUGAGAUAAUAUAAUGGAUCGUACCUCAACUUCUUUACCAUGGUGUUUGGAAUUAUUUAGAACUUGUGUGUAACCUGCCAUCUAUGCAAGUUACUCAGGCACAACUAGCUCUAGAGGUUUUUCUUUUUCUAAUUUGUAUGCAUGCUAUUAUGUUUUUUUCAGCAAAUUAUUUAUCAUCGGAACUAACAUGGCUCCUGUUACGUAUUCACAAUACCAUGUUAGGCUUGUGACUUUUGAAGGGGUCAAGAUGUUAGGCUCGAACUUCACAUUCUGCAAUACCACAACUUCAAGGCGCUCAUCUGCUUUAUUUUACCAUGCCCUAUAAAUUAGUUUCCAUGAUUAGGCAUAGGUUUCCUUUUACUAGAGAUGAGGGAUCCCCGUGUUUCCUUUUUUACUGAUAUACCAAUCAGAUAUCGCUAAAAUGCUUGUGAUAAGUAUCUAUUUGAGGCUUCUUCUCAUUGCCACCGCUGUUUCUUGGAAAAAAAACACGUUUUUUUUUGCUUUAACCAUGAUGCUUGUUGGAGUUUUGGAGUCAAGUUCACUUGCUCGGGAGUUUAGCAAAGUGCAAGAAGCAACAAUCUCCAUUUUAAGGAUUAUUGGUACGAUAUCCAAGAUUUACAUAAGCUCAAAGGUAGGAACGAUACUAGACAGAGUGAAAGGGAAUAUAUAGAGUUGGAUCUUCACAUGUUUGUGCUUUAGGAUACCAUUUUGAAAUAUGCGUUUGGUUACAUGGAAAUAUAUGAGUAGUAACUCUUAUUGUUAGUUGUACGGUAAUUUUGAUAAGUUUAAGUUCAUGAAAGAAUACAACCAAAUCUUUUUUUAAUUCUCUAUAUAUAUUAAAUAUAGA